rnacentral:rRNA from 1 species
ACGAACGCUGGCGGCAUGCCUAACACAUGCAAGUCGCACGAACCCUUCGGGGUUAGUGGCGCACGGGUGCGUAACGCGUGGGAAUCUGCCCUUUGCUUCGGAAUAACUCAGGGAAACUUGUGCUAAUACCGGAUGAUGUCUUCGGACCAAAGAUUUAUCGGCAAGGGAUGAGCCCGCGUAGGAUUAGGUAGUUGGUGGGGUAAAGGCCUACCAAGCCGACGAUCCUUAGCUGGUCUGAGAGGAUGAUCAGCCACACUGGGACUGAGACACGGCCCAGACUCCUACGGGAGGCAGCAGUGGGGAAUAUUGGACAAUGGGCGCAAGCCUGAUCCAGCAAUGCCGCGUGAGUGAUGAAGGCCCUCGGGUCGUAAAGCUCUUUUACCAGGGAUGAUAAUGACAGUACCUGGAGAAUAAGCUCCGGCUAACUCCGUG